GCAAGUUUGUAUUUUGUGGAUUCUCUCUUUCAAGCAAAAGAACUCUCUUACUCAAGAAGUAAAAGAGAUUUCAAUCGACGGUCAAAAGAUUGUUCCCUCUCAAGACUGCAACAGCGUUUAAUUUGUGGAAAUUAAGGCAGUACUUGUCGAACACAACCACGGAAACCCCUGGUGCUGCCCCGACAACAAGCUGUGGCUAUGCUGUGCCAGGCAUACUGGGUACGGUGGCUAUGGCACUUGGGCUAAAGGCGCGAAAAUUGUUGAGAUAAAUCAACAACCUUUCUCUAUCAAGUAUUGGACAAGGAUGGAGAAUCACGAUAUAUACAGCGUAGUUGAUUUGAGUUCUUAAAAGCUUUCGAUGUAUGGUGAAAAAUAAAUGCUAGAUGAUAAAGGAUAGCGUUAUCAUGGGCAGAUGUAUCUAGCUCUUAUAAAGAAUGCAGUAUUAUAAAUCA